AACGCGAAGAACCUUACCUACUCUUGACAUCCAGAGAAUUUAGCAGAGAUGCUUUAGUGCCUUCGGGAACUCUGAGACAGGUGCUGCAUGGCUGUCGUCAGCUCGUGUUGUGAAAUGUUGGGUUAAGUCCCGCAACGAGCGCAACCCUUAUCCUUUGUUGCCAGCNCGUAAUGGUGGGAACUCAAAGGAGACUGCCGGUGAUAAACCGGAGGAAGGUGGGGAUGACGUCAAGUCAUCAUGGCCCUUACGAGUAGGGCUACACACGUGCUACAAUGGCAUAUACAAAGAGAAGCGAACUCGCGAGAGCAAGCGGACCUCAUAAAGUAUGUCGUAGUCCGGAUUGGAGUCUGCAACUCGACUCCAUGAAGUCGGAAUCGCUAGUAAUCGUAGAUCAGAAUGCUAC
rnacentral:rRNA from 1 species